GGUGGCCCAUAGCUCAGUGGUAAAGCAUCGGCCUUAAGUGCCGAAGGUCCCAGGUUCAAUCCCUGGCAGCAUCU